GCCAGAUGCGGUGGUGCACGCCUAUAGUCCCAGCUAUUCAGGAGGCUGAGGUGGGAGCACUGCUUAGACCAGGAGUUCUUGGCUGUAAUAUGCAUGCCAGUCAGGUGUCUGCACUAUGUUUGGCAUCAGUAUGGUGACCUCCUGGGAGCAUGGGGACACCAGGUUGCCUAAGGAGGGGUGAACUGUCCCAGGCUGGAAAUGAAGCAGGUAAAAACUGCUGUGCUGAUCAGCAGUGGGAUUGUGCCUGUGAAUAGUCACCUCACUCCAGCCUGGGCAAUACAGUGAGACCCUGUCUCUU
rfam:Homo sapiens chromosome 1, GRCh38 reference primary assembly.